rnacentral:rRNA from 1 species
AUCGAACGAAGAGUUUGAUCCUGGCUCAGGAUGAACGCUGACAGAAUGCUUAACACAUGCAAGUCGACUCGAGUCUUCGGACUUGGGUGGCGCACGGGUGAGUAACGCGUAAAGAACUUGCCUCUUAGUCUGGGACAACAUCUGGAAACGGAUGCUAAUACCGGAUAUUAUGGUUUUUUCGCAUGGAGGA